ACGUAUGCGGCAGCACUUGGUGGUGGGCCCAGUAGACGGCUCGGGUGAACGGCAGGUUGCCGCCGAUGAGGUGUCAGGGAUCAGAAUCCGGGCCGCCGUCUGAUCCGUGGAUCCGGAAGUUUGGUUUUCCGUCUGGCCGCAGCGGGGUCGAAUUGAAUGCAGGUUCCGGCGUCUUCUUCGGCAAGGCGAGUGGCGUUUUGGAGGUGAGGACUGCGAGAUAGAGGUCAAGAGCGGCGGCGGCGACGGCGAACCACCAUGGAGUUUUCGUUGCAGCAACCAAUCGGCAGAUCUGCUAUGCUCGAGGAGGUGGGAGACUUCUGUGCCUGGCCCUCUGGUCGGGAAUGGCGAUGAACUGGCUGAGCCAGCUGUGUCACAACAUUAUGUGGUGGCGGAGAGCGUUGAAGCAGAGAUCUUUUCGGCGAAGGAGGACACUGCAGGCAGAAGAGAGAGCUCCUCUCCAACAUCUAAUCUGUCGACGGGGAAGAUGAAUCCACACGCUCCCGGAUGGAAUAAGAGGUUCAGAACUGGGUGCUGCUGCACCAAGCAGAGCACUGUGCCCAACUCGAGUGAGUGUGUUUCAGAAGGCUAUCGAGUGUUUUGCAGAAAACCCGGCAGAAAAUGUGAUCACCCCUGUUCUUGGACUACAUUCAAUUCCUUGGGCGAGGCUUACGACUUCUGCAAUCUUCACCCAUGGGAGAAGGGUUUUGGCAUGUGGUACAGAUAGAGCCGGCUAAAUGUGGAGAGGGUCAAGUGCAUGCAGAAAAUGGUGUGUGGCUGCUCGGGUAAAGCCGGUGUUGAGAACACAAGAUCAUGUCGACGGUGUUACCUGAUUCACUGCCAGCUGAACAAGUUGAGGUGCUGCAGGACAAUCUGGAGUGGGAGGAUGUGCAGUGGUCGCAGACCGGGGUCUGGGUUUCUGGGAAGGAGUAUCCGCUAGCCCGUGUGCAUUUCCUAUGGGCGAACUAGCGAUGGCGCACUCGGGUAGCAGCAGGCCAGGCCAGGCCAGGCCAGCCUAUGAAGAAACCAUUUUCUUCUUUCUUGAAUGCUGCUGCUUUGCCACCGUGACAUGCCAUCUUGUUUGUGUAUAAAAGAAGGAAAGGAGAAGAGAAGCUCAGGAGUUGGUGUAGGCCGUGUUGUGCCUGUAAUCUUUUUAUUACACACCAACAACCAUUAUAUGUCUUGUCUGAGAGAUGUAAUUCUUGGUUCUUGAGUUAGGCAAAACCGGAUUAUUAUUCGUUGAUUAUUGAAUGUUGGAUGUGAGUUGGAACUAUUUAUCAUCGAAUGUUUCUUGGUU